CCCGGAGGCACCAGCCUGGGGCCUUAGCCAACCCUGCCCCUCUACCGUCCCAGCGAAUGCCCCCGCCCCCAGGGCACGUCACGCAGCUGGCCCUGUGCUGGGCACGGCAGGCACACAGCCUGGAUCCUGCCCCUCUCGGCAGAGGCCUGGCCCAGCCUGCGUGGCUCCCUGCGUGGCUCUGUCUUGAACUGGAGCUCCGGGGCACUUGCUCACCAGCCGACCGGGCAGCCUGCAUUUGGGCAGCCUGCAUUUGCCCAGCCUGACUGUCAACGGGCCUCGUCCUUCUGGGUGAUGAACCCAGCUUUUAACUUACUCCCUUCAUGAGAACAGCAGAGAAGUUCUUUGUUUUGUCAUGAGUUUGUUGUCCCGUGAAACGGUCCCCCCGAGGGGCUGAAGCCCCAUGACCAAGCGCUGCGUGCUGUGGAGGAGACUCCAGGUGUGGGAGGCGGAGAAAGCUGAGCACCGCCUGCGCAGGAGUCUGAAGGCAGCAGACAGACUCAGGCCUUGAGAGGACGCGGCUCCAAGUGGGCCCUCAACCUCCCGGGGCUACACCGUGGCCGAGCAGAGUGGCAUGGGCUCGGGCUGGGCCUCAUUGGCUGCCGCAUCCUGCAGCUGCUCGCCUCACUGGACAGAGGGCCCGUGUGGCCAUGGUCAAGGCGGGACCAGCUUCCAAGGAGCCGCCCUGCUGAGGACAGCUGUGGCGGGCUUCCUGUCCUUUGCUCACCUGAAGAGUUGUUAGGCGUUUAAGUCUUUAGGAAAAAAAGAAAAAAUAAACGUAUUUUGAGGUCCAGACUUGCCGCAGCCCACAGGGUUGCAGAGAGUUGGACACGACUUAGCAACUAAAUAACAACUUCUCCUUUUAAUCACCAGGAAGGCCAGUGCUGGGGAAAAACAGAUUUCAAAACAGGCGUGUUUCUGAGCUGUUCCUGAAUCUGCAUGUGUAAACCCACAGUACUGAAACUUCUUUCUCUUCACUUUCAGCAUUCUGCCCAGAAACUCAGCAGAAGUGGCCACUUCUUCCCUUUUGAGACUAACAAAGAGCACCCCUGGGAGGUCGUCGGUGGAGGGCGGCCCGUAAGAAGCCAGGUGGCCGCGGGCCCCGCCAGCCCCUCCCCGCCUGGCCCCCGCGGCCCCAGCGUAGGCGCGCUCAGCACCCGGGACCUCAGGGCUGCACCGGCCGCCCUCAGCGCCCCUCACCAAGUGGCACGGCCGCUCCCUGUUGGAGCCAGAAGAGCUGGCGUGCGGCGGGCCCCUGAGGCGCCCUGGCGGCCCCAGGGUCUGGACUCCGGUCAUCAAGAGGCACUGCCACAGCAGCGGGAGCGCCUGGUUGCCGGGCCUCGCCCUCCCAGCCACCAGCGCCGCCUCGCCCCCUGCGCUCUGGCCAGCCCCGGGCCUGGGCGGGCCACCAGAGGGGGACCGCACGCCCUCCCCGCGACGCUGCCUGUUGCCGCCGCAGGAGCGCCUGGUGCCGGAGGGCGCAGCCCCACGUCGGCCGGCAGCGUGCCAGUGCCCACACCCAUGUCCACGCCCGAGCCCAGCCGCUGUCAGGGCCUGCUCUGCUGCCACUCGCAGCCGUGCGUGCGCGCGGGCGGGAGGGCCGGCGGAAGCGCGGGCGCGCGACGCCCGCUGGCCGAGCCCGGCCCUGGACUUCCUGAAGAUGGCCCGGGUGAGGCUCCCUCCCGCGUCCGGUGCCGGCGCGCCGCCCUCCACCCCACCCCCGCCCCCAUCUUGUUCCCCAAGCUCCCCAGUGCUCCUUGGAGCAUUGCCCAAGGACAGACCCACAUGUCCGUGUUUGUCGGUUGUGCCUGGGCCUUGUGGGUCAGCUGGGCCUGGGGCUCCCGUGUGUUGGGAGAUGCUUCGGGGGCGUGUGCCACCCCACAGUCCCUCCCCGUUGGCUCUGGCCUGCCUCCUGGGGCCCUGCCCGCGGAGGGUGGACUCCUGUCCCCCUCGGUCUCUGUCCGCUCGCUGGUGGAGAACCUCGUCUGCCGGCUGCCCGGUGCUGUGGGCUGUCCGCUCGCUGGUGGAGAACCUCGUCUGCCGGCUGCCCGGUGCUGUGGGCUGUUUCCUUUGUCCCACAUCCCCCGUUUCCUGCAGACCAAGUCGUCCCAUUUGUCUUCACGGCCGUCUCAGAUGCAGGCGCUGUCCCCGGGCAUCUGGUGACGCUGGAACCCAGAAGCUGACCUGUGGCUUCGCAUGUGGGUGCGGCCUUUCCAUCAGGAGAUUUCAGUGGGGUGCUGGGACGCCUCCAUCUGCGUCCCUGGUUCUCCAGGGAGGCCUCGGCCCGUGCCGCCUGGGGAGGCUGGGCCCAGGCCGGUGUGACCCUCAGGUGACCGCUUUUGGGGCUUGUGUCCUGUGUUUGGUGGACCGUGGCCCCCCCAGCCCAGUGGCAGGGGAUGAGGGCCUUGGCCGGGGCAGGUCGGCGGAGGUGCGUGUCUGCGCGCCUUCCCGCGGCCAGAGCCCCAGUGCCGGGCUCCGGGUGCUCCGGGCAGUCAGGGGCCCCUCCCUCGGCCAUCCGUGGCUGUGGCCGUGGCUGUGGCCUGUGGGCAGGGUCAGCUCUGGUGUGAGCACGGACACUGGGCUAUGUUUCCAUGAGGGAGAGAGGUUGAGCGUUUGUCUGGAGAAGGCCCGACGCCUCGGCUAGGGGCAUGUGCAGCGGGGGCAGGUCAGCUCUUGGCUCGCGGGACGGUGUCUGUUCAGGGCUGUGCGUGGCCGGACAGGUCGGGUGUCCUCCCUACUCUUGGCUCAGUCUCGGGGCCCCUUGGCUCCAGCCGCUGAGCCUGGGUACAGUCCCUGUCCGGCGUAAGUCGGCCGACGCAGGCAGGCACGUUCACACCGGCUGUUUUGCACACAAGAUGAGAGACCCUGUAAGAUCGAGGGCCCCUGAUUCAGACUCAAAGUCUUGACCUUUGAUUUUUUGAAAAAGUAUUUUUUGUUCACCUGGUUAGAUGUAGGUCACCAUCAAACCGGAGCAGGACCGCCCAGUGACGAGAGUCGUGCGUAUCGGUUCAGGUCCCCUGAGCAGCUCGGACUGCCCCCUGUAGUUUUGUGACACCUUUUGGGCCGUGAAGUCGGUGGUUUCUAGCUGCGUGUGGCCUGAGCCAGGAGCGUCCCGAGCUGCGCCUUUCACACUUGAGCUGCAGUUGUGAUCACGGCUGGGCUG
ensembl:lncRNA